rnacentral:lncRNA from 1 species
CAUUAAACUAAAUACCGAAAAAAAGUAAGCAAGAACCAAAUAAAGAGCCAAUGACCUUACCCCAUACACUCGCUUUUACUCCCCUUGUCGAUAUUAGAAACACUACAAACAAAACCAACAUUUAACAAAUCAUGAAGAAAAGAUGGGCAAGAAUCUCAAUAAAUGCCAGAUAUAUAGGAUAAAGUGGCCUUAGCAAAAGUAUGAGUUGCUUUAUUAGCACUCCGACCAACGGAAGGAAAAACUCAGCCACAAACAAUCGCCCACCAAAAGACCAAAUUCCUUUAAGAGCCAUAGUGACGUCCUAACAGUCGGAUUCAUGAAUGACAAAAUCCUGUUGUAGUGAACGGAGCCAAGAAAUGGCCUCCCUCACCGCUAUUAUCUCAGUCAAUCAGGACUCCGACACACCCAUGUAAAAGCCCCAUAUCCCGUUGGGAAUACAGCCCCGUCGACAUUACACUUAACCCAACAACUCCAUCCUUUACUUGCUUUAGAAACAAACUUGGUGUUAUGUCUCCAGCAAGGCUACGAGAGUUAGCAGAAGUUACAAGGCUCCACAGAAGCCAAACAAGCUGGGUGAAUGUGACAAGGGUUAGCAGAAGCUAAACCAGUUGGGUGAAUGUUAGUGAUUGAUGAGUGGUUGUAAUCAAAUAGUUAGCUAAAGGGUAUAGUUAAGUUGUUAGUGUGUAUUAAAGAUUAGUUAGUGUAGUUAAGAAGUAUGGUGCUGUAUUUGAUUCAAGAAUCAGUUAGGUGUUAUUCUUCAUCUUUGUGUAUAAAUAUGACUCAUCCCCAUUGCUGAGGUUUUAGAGUCUCUUUAAGUUUUUGUUUGUUGCAUACUCGUUCGCGGGGAGAAAAGGGAGAGAAAGAAAAGGCGAGGAAAGGAAAAC